rnacentral:rRNA from 1 species
GACGAACGCUGGCGGCGUGCUUAACACAUGCAAGUCGAACGGUAAGGCCCUUCGGGGUACACGAGUUGCGAACGGGUGAGUAACACGUGGGUGAUCUACCCUGCACUUCGGGCUAAGCCUGGGAAACAGGGUCUAAUACCGGAUAGGACCACUGCCUUCAUGGGUGGCGGUGGAAAGCUUUUGCGGUGUGGGAUGGGGGCGCGGCCUAUCAGGUUGUUGGUGGGGUGAUGGCCUACCAAGGCGACGACGGGUAGCCGGCCUGAGAGGGUGACCGGCCACACUGGGACUGAGAUACGGCCCAGACUCCUACGGGAGGCAGCAGUGGGGAAUAUUGCACAAUGGGCGCAAGCCUGAUGCAGCGACGCCGCGUGAGGGAUGACGGCCUUCGGGUUGUAAACCUCUUUCAGCACCGACGAAGCGCAAGGGACGGUAGGUGCAGAAGAAGGACCGGCCAACUACGUGCCAGCCGCCGCCGUAA